CUCCGUACCUGCAGUUUCCUCAGCGCCCAAGGUCGGACGGCUUGUUUAACUUUCUCCAACUCCUGCAGGUGGGCUUCCAAAUUUUCCUCUGUCUCCUGUAACUCCCUUACCUGGGCUUCUUGGCGCAGGGUGUCCUUAUGCUGCUCCCAGAGGGCUGUAAGGAAGAGCCGGCCCACCCGACCAGCCGCUACUUGCUCCCUAGGCCCCAGAGACUCCUCCAAGGCCUUCGAGGCUUUUUCUAGGGUGGCAGGUGUACGUUCUACCGCUCCCACCCCCUGGCAGGGGCCCACGACACGAAGACCGCUGCCACUGGCUGCCACAAGCCCAUAGGGGGCCACAUGACCUCCCCUGCUGGGUGGAGGGGACACUUAGCACUCCGGGUCCUGCCAGAAUACACCAAGUGUGAGGAGGAUGCUCCGUGGCUAGCACGUGCUCCCGCGAUGGCUUCGGGAAUCGGAAGAUAAGGCGAGUGGCAGCAGGCAGAGAAACUGAGGCAUGACUGAAUGAAAUGGACCUGAAAGAAGCAGCCAGUGAAAGGACUCCAUGCCGAGAGCUCAGAGCAGUGCAUUAGGACUUUGAAAUCUGACUCACAAGAAUGGUCUGAUAAGAUCCCUGCUAUUCCAAAGUGGUGACAGAUAUAUGAUAUAAGGAUACAAUGAAAGUUGGCAGUCUGCAUACCAGAAGACGGUCUUCACCAGAACUUUACCAUCCUGGUAUUUUGAUCUUUGACCUCCAGCCUGCAGAACUGUGAAAAAUAUUGAUAGUUUUCUAUUGUUUAAAUUAA